rnacentral:lncRNA from 1 species
ACAUCUCAUGUUUUGUCGGGUAUCCCACGUGCAAUUAACUUCUAGUGAAAGAAUCACCUGAAUUAUUAAAGGAUCAGUGAUGCUUAGAAUUUAAGAGUAUGAGGGAUAGUCGUAAAAUAAAGUUUCAUGAAUUUGUUAUGAACAGAUUACAAACAUGCUCUGGGAAUCCAUCCUUUGUUCAUGGCAAGUGUUUUUCUCUGCCUCUCCUUCCUGCUACUCGACAGCCAAGAAGAGGAAAAUAGAAGAAAAAGAACUUUUUCCAAUGCCAUGCUUCCUACCUUCCCUCUUUCCUGAAGCCCUUUCUCCUCCUACUCAUCAGCUUUAGGACAACAUCUGGUGUCAGCUGAUGCACCUAAUGAAGGCAUAAAAGUCAUUAUCACAUCUAACUACCAGAUAAAGGGAUCCCUUUGGUAGGUAGUCUUUGAUUUUACUGGUUGGGACCAUUCGAAUUCUUGCAUGAAUUUGUCUUUCCAACAUUGUGCAUCAAUUCCCAUAAUCAGUUACUUUGUAGUAAGGCUAUCCAUACACUUUUAGAACAAAGGCCAAAGCUACAAAUCCAAAGAUUGAAGUAAUUACUUUGGUUAUCUGAUUCACGAGGCCUUUCAGCUGAUGAGAAAUUUGUUGCAACAUCCCAAGUUUCUCAUCCAUUUAAGUUCGUAAAUUCUUAUUCCUGUGGUUAAUGAUUUUCUCAAACAUGGUAAAAAUGCCUUUCUAUGUCUUGUUACCUACCUUAUCGUCUUUAAGAAGAGUUCGGAGAAUUAGGAACUCGAGUUUUGGGUGUUCAAGGUGUGCCUCGAGUGCCAUUGCAUGCUACUUGUCAUGCUUAUGGUUUUAAAAUCUUUUAGCUACUCCCUACUCCUCUAGUUUAACACCAAGCAUAGUAAAUAUCGUAUUUAGAUAAUGUCUUGAAUUUUUGUUCAUUUCUCUGUUUUUUGUUACAUCAUGAGAGCAAAGUCUUAGUACAAGUAAGAGGGAGGGGAGAGAUUUGGUUCGAAACCAAGCUCUUGAUGUCCCUCAAACGCCUUUAACCACUAGGCUAAAGGCUUUAGGACAAAUUUUUAUUCAUUUUAGUAUCUUAAUAACCAUGUCUUAUUGGCAUAUUGUUGAGAAAAUGGUAUACCUAGUUUGUUUAUUUGUCUUUUUAUUUGUCUGGCUGGGAGUUCCUCAGAGCCUGCACAGAAAAAGCAAAAGCAUUAGGACUGUAAAGUCUUAGUUUGUUUCUUCUUUCUUUUUUUAAUGCCGUUAUCUAUAGAUUCAUGUUAUAGUUAUCUGCUCAUGCAACAUAGAUAUUCAUAUUGAUUACUAAGUGCAUGUUCACAAGGACGAGUUAUAAUUCAUCAUAGAUUAACUGUACCCUCUCUCUCUUUCUUUCAUGAUCUGAAGAGUAUUUGGCUCUCCAGUCACAGAAUGAGAUAGCUUUCCAAUCUCAAGCAACCUCUGCCCUCUCUCUAAGUUCAAACCUGAAGAUGUGAAUCAGCUUUGUUGAUUUGGAGUAUGAGUUCUGUCCUGCUGCUUUACAUAAAAUCCCAACCAGGCUAACUCGUGCCUGUGGGGUAUUUCACUCAUUCAAUUUCUCCUCACUCCCUCUAAAGAAAGGGACAGAAGCUUUUCAAAGGAAAACAUUCCUUGGUCCACGCUCUUGAAAUUUCAUGGCUUUUUAGACUGAUACAUUCAGGUUAUGAUAACUUUUAUUUACUUAUCAAUAUUAAUACUAAACAGAUUGUUAUUUGAUGUUCUUGUGGGGUAUAAAAGAUCCAUAAAUUGAUUUCUAAUUUAAAACUGAUUUAGCUAAAAGUGAAUUUAGAAGAUCCAAAGGGUCUUUUUUUUUUUUUUUCUUCCAAAGGUUCUUUGAAUAAUAAAUCUUAGAAGAAACGCACAGAUCACAUAUUCCUCUCAUAAAAUUGGCUGCAGAAUUUGAGCUGGAAAAGCGGAAACCCAGCAGCCUUUCCCUGCUUUCCCCUUUCCAGAGUCCAUUCACUAGAAUGAGUUCAUUUUCUUUAACCCCAAACAAACAUGCCUAAGCAGGCACCAGGCAGGCACAUCUCCAUACUCAUUGCAGCCACAAGUCGCCAACUUGGCAUGUAUUUUCUAAUGCAAAAAAACAUGAAGAGUUGCAACUGGAUUGAUGAUUUCCAUUGUGAGACCGAUGAUCAAAACCUUCUAAUAUAAGUUUACAAUGAAUUACCGUUUAUAUUUGCUUUUACAAUAGGAAAAAUAGGAUUAAAGAAGCAACUAGUGUCUAGCGUUGCAAGAAAAUGAUGACUUUCUUUGAACAUCGAUGAUAGGAUUUAGGGGACUUGAAUGAACAACCUGUAGCUAAUUGAAGUUUUCUUGAGAGACUGACCUGGUGGAAGGUGAGAUCAGGAGUUCUCAUCUCCCUCCAUAAGUGAUAUAUAUAUCGCGAAACAAUAAGAAUACAUAUACACGUAGAAGGAGAAAGAUGGAAAAUAUGAGAAAGCAAUUGUACAAGUACAUUAGAAUUGAACACUUCAUCACUUCUACAACCAAGAUAUAAUUUACAAAGAUAUUCAAGGAUCAAAUCAAUCUUAAACCUCAAACUGCCAUACUUGAAAGGCAUAAAAAAAAAAAAAAACCAAAAAGAAGAAAAAAGAAAUCAAAACUAAAACUCAUUGUUGAAGAAAUCACUCAAUCAAUCAAAAACUCAACAAAGCAUGACUACCAUUAAUCAAAAACAUGAUGGUAACCAAAUUAGAAAACCCAAAAACUCAUCUCCGCAAAGAAGGGGGAGAAAAAGAACCAUUUUAAAAGAAAACUGAAGACACCAAACUCUAUAUUUUUCUUUCUUUUAGAACUAAAUUUUGUUGCUUUCAUUCAGAAUCACUGGAGCUUGAGCUGGAACUAGAACUUGAGUCAUGCGGUUUUGCAUUCUUACCUUAAGGUUUAGACUUGAUUUUCUGAUGCUUCUUCAUAUUCAUUUUUUGGCUCGCUAGCAGCAUUCUCGCUUUUUCUUGAGUAACAGAGACUCCAUCACUGACUUCAAUCUCUUUAGCAGCAACCACAUCAUGCCGCUCUACUUCUGUUGAUCCAUUCCUCAAGUCUGAAGAAUUGGCAACUUAGCUGGAUUAGAUUCUGGGCGUUGUUGGAAGGCAUUAUGUAUAUCCUCCAGAGAUCUUGCCUCUACAACAGGUGAUUUUGAAUGUGUAUCGACAUGAUCCUGCUGGUUCUCAUGCAUACUUGGAAUAAUUACUUCCUCAGCAUCUACUCCUUUAUGACGUUGCUUAAAAGCCAAAUUGGUAUCUUCAACCGGUCUUGCUUCAAGCUGCUUUAUUUCUGAUGAUUCAUUCCUUAAGUCUGAAUAAUGUGGCAGCUCAGCUGGAUUAGAUUCUUGGCCUUGUUGGCAAGCAUCAUGUAUAUCCUCCAGAGAUCUUCCCUCAACAACAGGUAAUCUUGAAUUGGUAUCUGUAUGAUCCUGCAGAUUCUCAAUCAUACUUGGAAGAAUUACUUCCUCAACAUCUACUCCUUCAUGAAGUUGCUUGAAAGCCAAAUCAAUAUCUUCUACUGAUCUUGCUUCAAGAACAGGCAGCUCAACAUUAGUCUCGGCCUUUAUAUUUUCUGGUAACAAUGCAGAUUCAGUAUAGGCAACAUGAGAUCCCUCUGGUAAACCAAUUUCCUUGACAUUAAAGUCCCCUACAGUAUCCAAUUCAAAGAGGAUUCCUUCAUCAAUCUCUUUAAUCUCAUCUUCCUCUUCACUUAUAUUUUCCUCAUCAACAUGAGUGGCAUAUACUUCUGCUGCAUAAUUAAAGUGUUCUGAUACCUCGUUGGGGCCCUCACUUUCAAUUUUGUUUAGGAUAUUGUCUUUCAAAUCUUCUCGAUCUGUUGGCAAUGUAUGUUCAGGACUCGCAGCAGGAGAAGAAGUGGACUCUGAAGUCAUAGAAGAGAAAUUUGUUGAAAGUUUGUCCUCGGACUCAUGAACUUUAUGUACAUUAACAUCACUGUUGACAAUGUCUACUUCCCCUCUAGACUCAGUUGCAAUUAUAGAUGGCUCCUAAAUCAGAGUGGCCAGAGUUAGUUUUGAUAUCACCAAUUUAAUUACAAUUAGGAUACAUAAAUACCAUAAAAUUUGAGAUACAUAGUGUGAAAUGCAGGGUACCAUAGUACCAUGUCUAUCAAGCACGCUAGAGGAAAAGGGAUGCAUGUGAUAGCAACGGAAGCAAACAAUUCAACUCCUGAGAAAAUUCAGAUAUAUACAAGGAAAUUCAAAUAAAUAAUGCAUUAAAUUGCUUAAACGCCACAGUAUUUAAGCAUACAUGCAAUAAGAACAUUUCAUACUGGGUAAAUCAAUCACUCAGCUCUAUGAAAUCUUAAUUAUCUGCAAAUAUAUGAGUAUCACAUAAUCCAUGUUUAAUUAGCUACUUCAACAUCAUUAUUUGAUGCAAGAAUAAUAUCAUUGCUUUCAACUUGACUACUUUCUUUUGCUGGUAUAUCUGGCAUUAAAGGUUACUUUUAUACAACCAUCAAUUCCUUUGUCGAUAAAGAAACAGAAAAGGAAAAAAAAAGAUAGCAUGAAAAAACAAAGAGGAUAGAUUAUCAUUUUACUUCUACCAAACUCCAAGCUCACAAAAAAGUUUCAUAACUGAGAGAACUUGAUCCAAUGAGAUCAAAGUAAGCAUCAAUAUUUAAAAAAUGAAAUGAAUUUUUGAAGAAUAAAUAUGCAAAAUAAUUUAUAAGAAAACAAAUAGAAGAAAUACUUGCGUAACUUACUUCAAGCUUAUGAUGUUCAUCAAUGUGUGGUUCAUCCAUAGAUUUAUCAGACAGCGACAGCUGUUUCUCCAAUUCUGGUGAACGGUUUUCUCUAGAAGGCAUAGCUUGAUAACUAGAGUUUGAAGGAAUUCCCUCCAUGUUCAUAUCAUGGCCGAGACCAGUAUCAAUCUUUGAAUCAGAACAUGCUGAUUGGACUUGAUCCAUUUCAGAUUCCGUUUUAUGCACCUCCCUUAGGCUAGCCUCUAAAAGGUCAAUUUGUGAAACUUGAGCCACCACUAUCUGACCUGAUUCCUCUGCUGUGGAUGAAUUGGAAGGCAUAUGCUGGUAAGUCAAAGCCAUGGAAGACAACUCCUCACCCUUAUCGUGGUGGUCAUCAACAUCAAGACUUGCAGCAAAGUUUGAAGAUUGCAUUUGAUCACAUUCAGUCUGGAUAAUUUCCUUCUUUGGGCAUAACACUGCCCUCAACUAAGUUAAUCCUCUGAUGAACUUGAUGAAUGGAUUUCAACUCGCUCAAGCUUAGUGUCCUUCCUUAUCAACUGCAUGCCUAUCUCCCGGUUCAGCCUGUGAAGAUUUAUUGGGGUGCAUUUGAUGCUGUUGUACUGCUGGUGAAGAAUUCAACACCUCCCCCUUUCCUUGGUCAACAGCAAGAGUCAUCCUUAAUGAGUCCACUUGAUUCUUGGUAAAGCUUUGUUCCUUAUUUGGGACAUCCUCCUCCAAUCCCUUGUCAGAAGAUGAUGACCCUGCAUCUGUUGAAACAUAUUCAACCACAGAUUCAGGCACCACUGAUACAUUAUGACCAGCAGAAGUGGAAGAAACCCCCGAUGAACCAGCAUAUGUAUCAUCGUGUUCACAAUCUCCGGAGAUCCCUUGCCCUUGGUUCAUUUCAUUAAGUACAUCUAAGGAUGCUGCAUGCAUCUCUUGAAAACCAGAAGCACCCUGCUCAGUUGUUUCACCAUGCCCUUCAGGUUCCUUAUCAGUAAGCUCAACCAACAUUGAGGGUGAACCCAUCUCAGAUAUCUCAGCUUGUGUGUCAGAAGAUACAGAUGAAAAUGAUAGGAACUUCUUAAGAGGACUUGAAUCAUAAACAGGUUCACUAUGCUGAUUAUCAUCAACCACCCUGCUUGUAAAUGGAACUCUGAUUCCUCAAAUGAUGGUUGUAUAGAAAUGCCCAGAUUCUUUUAAUUUCAUGAUCUCUGGGGGUCAAAACCUGCAGAUCCAUCUCCUCUGACAGCAGAUAUUCUUUUCAUCUAUUUCUGAUAAGAGGACAAACUUGAUCUACUGCUAAAUCCUCCUCAACUGGAUCUGUUCUGGGAUGAAUUUCACUUGCAUUGCUUUCCACAUGAAGUAGUUGCUUUCAGCUUCAGACAAAUUUGAUUUCAUUUCCAGCUGACUUUCUCAUCUCUGAUGUGAUCUCAACCAAAUCAAUGAUGAACAUCUCUAUUCUCGGCUUGGCCAACAUGAGAUGUUGGUACAAUUUCACUUGCAUUGAGUUCCACAUGAGCAGUUGCUCCAGCUUCAGACAAAUUUGAUUCCAUUUCCAACCGACUUUCUUCAUCUCUCAAUACGAUCUCAACCACAUCAUGAUGAACAUCUCUAUUAUCGGCUUGUUCAACAUCCCCAGACGCUUCACUCUCUUGUUCAUCAUGGACAGAAGCGUGAUCUUCAUUCACAAUCAAUUCAUUUUCUAGAGAAACAUCUUGUUCAUAUGACUUGUCCUCCUCAUCCAGAACUGAACUCACUGAUUCAGUAUAAGGAAUAGAACUCAACUUCGACUCGCUAACUUCACUUGACUGCCUUUGGAAUGGGGAAGGGUUAGCUUCCUUCUGUUACUAACCGCUCUGGAACAAAAUAAGGUUUCCAGUUAAGCUCUUGCUGAGGAACACCUAAAGAUGAUGGUCCAACAUUGAAGCUUUCAUGUCUUCGAAAGAAGGCUUCUCUUUGGAGAAUUGUUUCCUUUUGAUUAAAACCUGAAAACUCUUGUUGGAAACUGUCUCCUUUAAGAUUGAAUUUUUCCACACUUGAGUCAUAAGGAAGAUCAACAGGGUUUCUUCUUGGCAGCAAAAUGGAUGGAGCUGAGCCAGGAAUGGGAGGCAACCCUAGGUCAUCGUAGGAAUCAUAUGGAAGUUCAAAUGGGUUCCGUCUUGUAGAAAUUGGUGUGAUGUUUAAGGGAAUAUCAGCACUAUCUAGUCUAUUAGAUUCCUCUCAGCCAUCAAUCUCAUGUUUUUACAGGCUCUACUCCUUGCAAUAAGAUUCUCCAAUCGUUGGUUUCUUUCAAGCUUUGAAGUCCCCAAAUCCAUGAGAUUCUUCUUAUAAUCAUCUGUCCAUUUAAUUGCAGAUUUACUUUCAUCCUCUUUAUCUCCCUUUUCCCCUCCUUCAUCCUCCUCUCCAUCAUUAUCUUCCUCCCUCUGGUUUUCUAACUCAUACAAGUUAACACUUUCAUCAUUAUUGCUGCCAUGAGAUCUCUCUGAGGCAGAAUCCAGACGAUCAUGAGAUAACUGAGCUGGGUGUAGAGCUUCAGGGCCCAAAAGUGGAUGCAACUCAUCAAGCAUCAGAAUUAUAUCUGCCAUUGAAGCAUCAGGAGAAGAACUCUCAGCACUAUCAGAACCAGAAUCCAAAGAUUCAUCAUCAUCUUCAUCAACACCAUCAUCCUCAUCAUCUGCGGUGCAUUUCCAAGAUGACACCAGAGAAGAAUCCAAUUCAUCAACCCUUGGUACAUCACUGAAACCUGCAUUGCGUUUACCAUCCUCCACUUCAAGAUUCCUAUCUCCUACCUCAUCUGCUAAAAGAUGUCGAUCAUCUGCAGCCUCUCCCAUACUCAACACACCUUCACUCACCAGCAUCUCUUCCCGAAUUUCCCACUUCUUCUCCAACAAUGAACCACUCAAUGUUCCCUCCAACUCAUCAAUCAUCCCAUUCUUACAAUGAAUAUCCCUAGAAUCCAAAUCCUCAUCAACCAAUGGCUUAUAGCGAACUGAACCAUUUUCUUCCUCUGCUUCACUGACCUCAUUAUCAACCAAAUUAUCUUUCUCAUCAGCAUUGUCUGCAAUAUCCCACUUCUUCCCUACAUAUCUUUCAACAACAAAAUCAUCAUCACCACCACCUCUCUCGAAAACAGUAUCAUCCUCCGUAGCCCCAGUUUUCAAUUGUGAAACUUCAUGACUAACUUUCUCUUCUUCUUCCUUUUCGUCAAUUUCGGGUAUAUUUGGUGACCCAAAACUCAAAAGAGUACCAAGCAAAACAGCAGUGCAAACCAAAACAGGAGAUGCGGUAACCAAUACAGAAAACAACAAAGGAAAUGAUCUAUUCAAAAAAAUCAAAAAACAAAACAAGCCAACCCAAAAUGGAUGAUUCCGAACCGAUCUAUGACAUGUUUUAACUGAUAUCACCAUAAAUUUCCUAACUCUAACUCCAAAUUCCAAUCUUUCAAGCCCCAUCUCUCACUAUAUAUAUAAAUUUAUUUCUUCUCAAUUUCCAACCUGUUUAAAAAAAAAAAAAGAACCAAUUAAAAAUAAAACAGCCCACUGGAUCCAAAGCGAACAAAUAUUUCACAAAAUUUAACUGUGAACUCACCUUAGAGGUAGAAUUAAGUGAAAGACAGAGCAAUCAAAUGAAGAUCAACCCAAUAGCUGAAAAGCAACAAUUAAGAGUUUUUGAGUAUGAAAUUGACUAACAAACAAAAAAAGAUGGAAAUUUAAUUCAAAAGAAGAAAAUGUUAAGCAAAGCUGAAAACUUUCCAUCACAUAAAACUUAAAACUUUCAAGCAAGAGAUAGAAAACCCGACAAUACCUGGAAAAACCCAGAAACCUCGGGGCUUUUAAAACUUGGGAAAUUGAAACUGAAGGGAAUUCUGAAAAUGGGCCAAAUACAAAUAGAUCAGCAAUUAAAAAAAAAAAAAGCAAAAUGUAAUCCUCUGUUUUUCUUUUCUGCUCUGUGUUUUCUCUUUCUUUUUGCUUACUUUUUUGGCUUAGCAAAACAGCUAUGAAGUCGUAAUGGUUGGUUGCUUUUUCUUUAUUCAAUUGUUUUGCUUUGAAAGAAAACGAGAAAGCAAAUGGGGUGGCACAAAAAGAAGAGAAAGAAAGUGAAGACAGUUCCUACUGUAUUCUUCUUUUGUUUUUCUUCUGUUUUUUUUUUUUGGCACUACUUUUUUUUUUUCAUUUUAUUGUGGUGAUUUUUUUUCAUUUUAUUAGAAAAAGAAUAUUAAUUUCUUUUAUCAUUCUUUUCUUAUAGAUCAAUCCAAUUAGUUGGCAUAAAAUCAUGAUUAAUAAUUUUUUUUAAAUAUUUGAAUUUUACCAUUUUUUAAUAAAACCUUAAUAAUUCAAACUUAAAAUAUUUAUCCAAAUCUCAAUUCAAUGAAUUGUCUUAAUCAACUUUAAUAAAUUAUCUUAAAAUUAUUACAAUUAAAUAUUGGUUUAAAAUCUAAAUAAAGAAGCAUAAGAUUUAAAACAAAACUUGAUUUAAUUGAUUUAUAUAAUUAUUUUUAAUAAAUAAUAUAAUAAAUUUAAAAUUUAAAAACUUAUAUUUAUAUUUAUUUAUUUUUAAACUAAGAUUUCCUUAAAAAAACAUAUAAUUUAAUUUUAAUUUCCUUGAUAUGUUUUUUUUUUUAUUGUAUUGUGGAUUUUGCCAUGAUGAUUACUUCAUCCGGCAAAGAGAAUUUAUUCCAUUCUUGCUUUUUUCGUAAAGUUUUGGUGUUGGUCCCAUAGAUUUAUUUAACUUGGAGAGGUUUUAUUUUUGUUUUUCUAAUUUUUAAUCUACUCUACUCGAUCUCAUUUUAAUUUUAAAGAAAUUUUUUUUUAAUUUUUUAAUAAAAAAUACAGGUUACAAAAGCAUAAAAGUAUUAACCCAUUUUUUUAUUUUAGAAAAAAGAUAAAAUGUUUUACAUUAUUUUAGAAAAAUGAUGGAGUUUGAACAUAGAUAAUUUUAACAAGAAAGGUAAAAUUUUUAUUUUUAAAAUUAACAUUCAUUGUUACUAUUUUUUAUAUAUUUAAAUAUAUUUAAUAUUUUAUUUUAAUUAUAUAUAAUUUAUUGAUAAAAUAUUAAAAUAAUUUGAAAUGAUGUGAACCAAAUUUGAACUCAAAGUUUUUGUUCAAGCCUAGACCAAUGCGGAGCCAAGCUGUGGGGGCCGGAAUGGGCUCCAAUAUUAAUCAUCCGCUCCGGCUCCUUUAUGACAAUCUGGUUGGCGGUUGGCCCAACUAAACGAGCGGCCCUGACCCGCUAACGUCAAAAUUAUUUGCACAAACCAAUUUUUUAAGGAAGCAAAUAAAAUAUAAAUAUUAAAUUUUAAUUUGACAAAAAAAAAUUCAAUAUUCGAGAGACAAAAGGGCAAGAUUUUUUUAUCGUUUAUUAACAACAAAAAUAAAAAAUAUAUAAAAAUGAGUAAUAAUUAAAAAAAUACAUAAAAUAAAAAAAAUAAUUUGAAAACAAUAUAUUCAUUUUUACGAUUAAAAUUGCGACAUAUAUUUAUAAAAAAAUAAAAAAAAAUGCAUCGUCAUCUUCUUCCUUAAAAUCACCAAAACGUCACCGCCGUUUCGCUGGUAACCCUAAUUUUACACAUCUAUCCCUCUUUACCUUCUAUUUCCAUUCUCUUAUAUAUAAUAAAACAAAGGAGUGCCCGAAAACGAAAGCCAAGCAGAUUCCACUGAGAAAAACGACGUCGAAUCCGACACUUCCCUUCUUUCUCAUUUUUCUUUUUUUUUUUUUGAUCAAGCUUUCUUGUUUUUCUUCGAGAAGCGAAAAAUUUUCGAUAUUUCAAAUUGAAUGAUCGAAGACGAUGCCAAAGAAUUAGUGGAGAAUUGUAAUCCGACGCCGUCUCAGCUAUAUGGCUCAGCAACAAUCUUCGCGACUCAAUCGUUUACUCACUUUGUUGGAUAGUAUCCUUUUUUUUUUAAUAUUUUGAAUUAUUUCUUUUUAAUUUGGAUCUGAUUGAAAUUUUUCGAAAUUCAAUAAGCAUUUUCCUUUUGUUUCUUUGACUGAUUUUGUUUAAAAAAGCUGGUUCAACGCAAGCGACGAGAUUCACUGCGGCAAGACAGAUUGGGGAUAUUGCCAAAUCGCAUCCGCAGGACUUGAAUUCUCUUCUCAAGAAGGUACUGAUUUCAAAUUUGUGAUUUUUAAUUUCUUUUAAUUUUUAUGCAUUCUUAGCAAUUAUUUUAGUGUAAUAAGUGUUUUUUUAUUGGUCAAUUUGGAGCUUUUUGGAAUUUAUGUCAUUUUGAGGAAGAAAAAAAAGCUACAUUUCCCUGAUUUUUUGGAUUUAAUGCAGUUGUUGUAUUUUUUUAAGAUUAUUUGGAGAAAGCAAAGAAGCUAUACCUUGUAUAUUACGUUGCCAAGAUUGAAUUUUGACAUUUAUUAUUAUUUUUGGAAUAAUGCGAUUGUUGACAAAAUUGGAAUUGCUGUUUUCCAUGCAAUUGAGUUUAGUUGUUUAGCAAAAUACCUAAAUAAGCUGAAGUCGGUUUAGUAGGCCACUGGACUUGCCGGUUUCUGUGGUUUUUGUGCUUGUGGUAUUUAUGACUUAAAAGACUUUAGGUGGCAGCUAACAUUUCGAAGUCUGUGUUUAACCUUGCUGAAUUAGGAUUGUGAGAAGUUUAUCCUAAAUGUUCUUCUUUCCUAAGCCGUCAACAUUCUUACUUCUAAUAUGGUUCUGUUAUAGGGCUUAAAGGUGGAAUUCGACCCAUUUUAUCAAAAUGCUUGGAUGUUCUUGUUGUUUUAGGAAAAUAAAUAAGAAUACUAUUUUUGAAUGCCAUAGAUUUUAGACCUCUCUUGCUGUCUCUAUGUUUUGUUCCAUUUUCCCCUGCACGCUGGGCCGCUUCACUAAUUGCUCUUUUUAAACUGUAAAUUUUUAGAAAUUAGACAUUUUAAAUUGUUGCAUUGCAAGAUUCUAUUAAAUUAUUCUUUUUUCAACCUAGAAAAAUCAUUGAGGCUGUAAUUGAAGAUUCUUCAUUAAAUUUUAGCUUGAAAGGUAUUUUUCUUGGACGUUUGUAAUCAAAAUGCAGAACAGUUGAGUUAACUUUUGAGCUGUUCUCAAGUUUUCUGCGUUUUGCUACUUAGUAUAGGGAUUGAGCUAAGCACUAGUUAGGGUUAUUUUAUUUAAUUCUAGUGUGAAAUUUACAUUUUCUAAUUAUGUAUUUCUACCUUUUUUUUUUUUGUGUUGUUGUUAUGACAUCUUUUUACCAUGGACUAUCCUUCUGGGGUGGACUUGUCAGUUGCAUGUUAUUGUUAUGUUUUGUACUUAAUCAUCUACCUAAACUAUAUUGUUUUUGUGCAAUUAGCUUUCUCAGUAUCUUCGUAGUAAAAAUUGGGACACAAGGGUUGCUGCUGCUCAUGCCAUAGGAGCCAUUGCUCAAAAUGUUAAGCACACUUCUCUGGCUGAUUUAUUGUCUUCUGUUGGAGCAAAGAUGACUGAGGCUGGGAUAUCUGCUAGUGUUGAAGAUGUGGUGGCAUCACCUGACUUACAUUCUAAAAUUGUGGCAGGUGUUUCAUUUAGAAGGUUGUUUAUGAGAUUUCUUUUUUCCAUUUUCUAUUGUACCAAAAUUUUCCUCGGAUGGAAAAAUAUUAUGCUUGUCAUUAAUUUCAGUUCCAUCUUUCUAAGUAUGCGAUUCUCCAAACAAUAUCUAGUUGUCUUCUUUACUGACAUAUGUUUCUUUGAAUAAAUUGUUUUUAACAGCUUUGACAUCAACAAGGUGUUGGAGUUUGGGGCUUUGUUGGCCUCAGGUGGACAGGUAAAUGAUCUCCAUUUUAUGUUGAAGCCAAAGGAUUUAGUCUAAAUAUCAUGUAUUAUUCUUUAUUAGGAUUUUAAUAACCUUGAAAAAAAUUCCACAUGUUAUACUGAAAAUUUUCUAUUUAAUUCCUUUUGUUAAUUUCUCAGUAAAUGUACAGCACCUUUCUUUCCAUUCUUGUUAUUUCUAGCGAUGAAUGGUCAAGGGUUAGAAUCUUCUGUCUUUGUUCUGGCUGAUGUCACAUUUCUGAUUUCCUUUAUUUGACAUUGGUUUCUUUCUUUCUCUCUUUCUUUCAAUUUCUUGUAAAGUAGCUUUUCAUAUUUGUUUUAUUUAUUUUUGUUUUUCGAUCUCUGGAGUUGUAAAAUGCCUUUGCUUUUUGUAAACAAGAUCAAGAACCUUUUCCCAUCCUUUCUUAUCAGUUUUCCUGUGGAUGUUUUUGUUGAAUAGAGAGAAGUGUGUAAACUUAAGUUAUGUAAUAAUAUGGCAUCUAUUCAGACGGUUUUCUGGGUUAUCUAAUAAUGAUAAUGAUAAUAAUAAUAAUAAUAAUAAUAAUAACAAUAGAGCUAAAAAGAAUUAAAGAGAAUUGUGAUUGCCUUUCUUCACAUUGUUUCCUCUUUUUAAAGUAUAUUUUGAAUGGUAGUUAUUCUGAUUAUGACAACUAGCAUCAUUUUAAUAGUCAUAUGUUAUCUUGACAUUUAUCUGCAUCUUGUUGAAAUAAUUGUUUAGGUUUGCAAGUCAGUGUUAGUAGCUUGUUUGGUUGAUUGAAGCUGGACUAAAAUUUGAAAUAACUGAUGAUGAUUUUAUUUAUUCAAAAAUUUUAUUAAAUCUGCCUCUGAUAACCUUCUCAAUGCAUUAUUUUUAAAGCUCUAAGUUAGAGCCAUCACUUCUGUUCUCUAGAAGCUUACUUAUGGGCACUAGAUACUAACGGUGAUUUCUAUAGUUCUCCGCAUCCCCCUGUUCCUCCUCUCUGGCACUACUAGUUUUCUCUUUGAUUUAUAAUGUAUGCCUCCCUCUAAUAAUUUUUUUUUUUAAUUUGUCGCAACAUUGGUCGUUUUGUGUAUUAAUUUCAAUUUAUAGCAUUUUCUGUGCUAAUGAAAACGUUUGAUUCCUUUUCCAAUGCAGGAGUAUGAUAUUGCAAAUGAUACUCAAAGAAAUCCUAAAGAGAGAUUGGCUCGCCAGAAACAGAAUCUAAAACGACGCUUAGGUUGGUACUUUUUUUUUCUUUUAAUGAGUUUAAUUAAGGAGUUUGAUGAUACUUCAGAUAUUUUAUCUGUGGUUUGAUUUGUUUGUUGUUUACUAUAUGGUACUAGAAAGAAUUCUGUAUAUUUUAUCAAAAAAAAGGGGAAAGAAGUUUUUAUUUGAGAUAAUUUCAUUGUCAGGGUAAAAGUUUGCAAUGUUUUUAGGAGUUCAAAAUUUCUGGCAAGUCUUUUAGAUUGAGACGAUUGAUAUUUUGUUGUCUCUAUGAUCUAUUCAUUGGUGAAGGUUUUAUGAAGAUCUAGUGGAUUUAUAAUUUUUUUUCCUUUUUAUGUCCUGUUGAGGUGGGGCUGGCUUUUCUUUUUUUUUUUUUUUUAAUUCUGGCGGUGGGGAUGGAGCGGAGGGAGAUUGGAUUUUAUUUGAGCAUUUAUAUCAAGGAGGGAAGGUAGAAGAGGUGUUAUUAUAACUUGAUGUUGUUUAUCUGUUGUUUCAUAGAUUCCAUAAAUAUAUAUUUCAAACCUAAAGAAAUCUGGCUUUGAGUUAAAAAUCUCUUGGCUGAUAGUUCUUUAGUGGUAUGGUGUUGGGUAUGACAUAGACACAUGUCUAUUAGCUUGCUUGGCAAAAGUACAUUGGAUGGAGUAGAUUGGGAGGACGUAUCAUGCAUAUACCUCUCUCUCUCUCUCUUUAUAUAUAUAUAUAUAUAUAUAUAUAUAUAUAUACACACAUAUGGGCAGUUAAUCUAGGCUUUUCUGUAAUCUAAGCAGUAAGUCGCAAUUAUGUUACAUUCAGAACUUGGAAAGUGUGAAAUGGGUUCUUUAACAUGGGAAGUUGUCAAUUAGGUUCCGUUUAGGUGAAGCUGUUUCAUUUGUUCCUUGGUCUGAAGUUACCAAAACUGCUUAAUAUUAACUAGAGACUAAGGACCUUUGAUACAUUGUAGGUUCCAGUUAUCAGGUUAGCUUCCUUUGUUUGAACGUAAAACAAAUUAAUGUUGUUUUCUGUCCUAAAACUAAUCAGAUAGAAAAUUCAAUUUUGUUCAAUUUUGUCAUUGAAAACUUGGUUGUCUUGUGGUUUUGUAGUUUUAACUUUUUUUCCCCUUAAUAUUUGUGAAGAGCUUCACCUUUUAAAAUUUUUAAAAAUGAUACUAACAUUUUAGCUUAAAUUUGUGGGUGGGUCCUGAUACUCUUUUAUAUUCUGAUGCUAACAUAAGUCAAAAUGAGAAGGGGGAGGGAGGUCAUUUUUCCAGUAAGGUUGCCAUCAGGUUGUAAGAAUGGCUUCAAUUCAAUAAUUUUUCCACAUGGCAAACAAUCAAGAGGUAAAUAAGCAUUUUAUGUCUAAAACAAUUUGGAAUUUCAACUCAUAUGAACAUAAACUGAGCCUUUGCUGUAAUUAUAUUCCCAUUCCAGCAAAUUAAAUGAUUAAGGAAGGUUGGCGGUGUAAAGAGUGGGACUCUCUGCUGUAGAAUUCAAUAAUUUACAUGCAUUUUUAUUUGUUUAGUUUCUUCCUUUUUUUUGUAAUUUGCAUGUGUUUACCCUUUGUUAUGAGUUAAAUUUUAUUUCAUAAUUUGUCAAUUUGGUUUGCAUGUAUGAUUUCUUUACCUUCAGUUGUCUCCCUUAAUGAGUUCACAAGAGGCUACUGAGUUUGAUAUGUUAUACUUUCCUUGCACAUGGUUUUCUUACACCGGACUUGGUUGUCGUGGGCAGGUUUGGAUAUGUAUGAGCAGUUCAUGGAUGUCAGUGAUAUGAUUAGAGAUGAGGACCUUAUAGUUCACAAAUUACACAACAAUGGAAAUGGGUUAGAUAAUAGAUUUUACAAGUCGCCAUCUGUACAUAAUAUCCAGCAAUUGGUUUCACAUAUGGUACCUAAUGUUAUGUCUAAAAGAAGGCCAAGUGCAAGAGAGUUGAAUAUGUUAAAGAGAAAAGCUAAAAUAAAUUCGAAAGAUCAAGCAAAGGGCUUGUCUGAUGACGGAGAUACAGAGGUAUCACUAGCUCACAAUGUAUCAACUCCAAGGGGAACAUGUCCUGAUCCAUUAGAUUCGAGUAAGGUACUAGAAUGUCUCACUUGCUAAUUAACGUAUAAGUUCAUGAUUUUGGUCUUAGAAUACCUAGCUGUUAGGUCUAAUGUUUUAUUUAUGUAUGUUGAAUGCAAAACUUCAUAUCAAUUGGGUGCUACAUCUUUUUUAUUUAAUAAAUAAUAUGAAAGUCUUAUCCUUGUUUUGGUUACAGCAUCUGUUACAAGAUUUGCAAUUAGUUCUAUUUGAUUCCAUUCACAUUCAGUUUCUGGACCUAGUGUGUGUGUGUGUGUGUGUGGUUUUUUUUUUUUUUUUUUUUUUUUUAUAAAUUUAGGCAUCACUAUGUAUCUAUAUUCUUUCACCAAAUUCUUGAGAAUUCNNNNNNNNNNNNNNNNNNNNNNNNNNNNNNNNNNNNNNNNNNNNNNNNNNNNNNNNNNNNNNNNNNNNNNNNNNNNNNNNNNNNNNNNNNNNNNNNNNNNNNNNNNNNNNNNNNNNNNNNNNNNNNNNNNNNNNNNNNNNNNNNNNNNNNNNNNNNNNNNNNNNNNNNNNNNNNNNNNNNNNNNNNNNNNNNNNNNNNNNNNNNNNNNNNNNNNNNNNNNNNNNNNNNNNNNNNNNNNNNNNNNNNNNNNNNNNNNNNNNNNNNNNNNNNNNNNNNNNNNNNNNNNNNNNNNNNNNNNNNNNNNNNNNNNNNNNNNNNNNNNNNNNNNNNNNNNNNNNNNNNNNNNNNNNNNNNNNNNNNNNNNNNNNNNNNNNNNNNNNNNNNNNNNNNNNNNNNNNNNNNNNNNNNNNNNNNNNNNNNNNNNNNNNNNNNNNNNNNNNNNNNNNNNNNNNNNNNNNNNNNNNNNNNNNNNNNNNNNNNNNNNNNNNNNNNNNNNNNNNNNNNNNNNNNNNNNNNNNNNNNNNNNNNNNNNNNNNNNNNNNNNNNNNNNNNNNNNNNNNNNNNNNNNNNNNNNNNNNNNNNNNNNNNNNNNNNNNNNNNNNNNNNNNNNNNNNNNNNNNNNNNNNNNNNNNNNNNNNNNNNNNNNNNNNNNNNNNNNNNNNNNNNNNNNNNNNNNNNNNNNNNNNNNNNNNNNNNNNNNNNNNNNNNNNNNNNNNNNNNNNNNNNNNNNNNNNNNNNNNNNNNNNNNNNNNNNNNNNNNNNNNNNNNNNNNNNNNNNNNNNNNNNNNNNNNNNNNNNNNNNNNNNNNNNNNNNNNNNNNNNNNNNNNNNNNNNNNNNNNNNNNNNNNNNNNNNNNNNNNNNNNNNNNNNNNNNNNNNNNNNNNNNNNNNNNNNNNNNNNNNNNNNNNNNNNNNNNNNNNNNNNNNNNNNNNNNNNNNNNNNNNNNNNNNNNNNNNNNNNNNNNNNNNNNNNNNNNNNNNNNNNNNNNNNNNNNNNNNNNUAUGGGCAUUGGACAUGGUCCAUUGGGUCUUAUUUUCUGUCGAAUUUAGUUACUACGUAUGGUCUUUAGUUUACAUUAGUUAAGUUUUAUUCCUAAGCAUAAUGGUUUUAGGAAUCCUAUUCAAAGUAGGACAAAUGAUGAUUAGACUAUAUCUCUUAGAAUUGCCAAUCUUGGCAAAUUUUAAUUUCAAGUUUAAAGAAAAUUUGAGUUAUUGAAAACUCUUAGAAAUUUGUGAUUUAGUUUUUCCUUCCUCCCUUGUCUUCUUCUAUAUUGCCAUAGCAUUCUUGAGUUACUUCCCUUCUUUGGCACCCCUAACCACAUUCUCUCUCUUGUGACUUUCAAACCUAAUUCUUGCCUCAUAUUUUCAUAUCAAUUCCCCACUAGCCAGACCUCUCAAUUCAACAAUUAAAGUUUCCUUCAGUUUAAUCUUCCUCUUGAGAUCAAAUGUCAACUAAUCCAAUAACCAAAAGAUUCUUAAACCCUAACCUUAUUCCUACAAGAGCAAUAAACCCUAAAAUCCCUUAUUUUCCAGUCAAAACUGCCAUAAACCCCAAGGAGGCAAAACUUCCACGUUUCUUCCCUAGACUAUUUUAAUGUGUCCCAACAAAAUUGAUUUUCACAAACAUGGUACACCAAGAUUUUUUAUAGGACACCAACUCAAAAUUUUGCCAGAAAUGAAAUUUCGCAAUUAUUGUCGCUUUCCUUCCUCUUGCAAUGAUAAAAUACAGUACCAUAAUCUCAAAUCCUUUCCUCAAGCUUUCAGAUAUUUGCACUCCACUCUAAAUUCCGUGAAGGCCAUAUCAUCGGUAUUAUAAAUUAGUACUCACAAAGCAGUAUCAGUUAAAAACAAUUUUUCAACUAUAGCUUUCAUUUUCUUUAUAAUUUUAUAACCUAACGCCUUCUCUAAUCGCAAACUGACCGCCAUUGAGUCUAUUGUUUGCUUUUCAGCAUCUUCUACUGUUCAACAACAUUCACAAAAAUCUCUCCAACUAUAUAAAAUCUAUUUACUGAUAAAAAAUAAGAAAAAUUCUCAGUAAAACAAAUUAGAAACAUUCAAAUUUAAAUUAUUUAAUUUUGCAACUUACAAAUAGAAAAUAAAUAAAUUAAAACUAGAAACAAACUAAAAGAAAAAAACAAAGAACUCUCAACUGUACCUAAUAUCAAAAUUCUCCACAGAGCUGACAUCAGCUUCCAAGAUUUCAAAUUGUCAAUUCCAUUUCUACUUAAGUUUCUUAGCAACCAAAUAGAAACCUAGGGUUUCGAAGCACUCAAAGAAAAAUUCAACUAAGUUUACAAAGCAGAACGAAAAUAAUAAACAAGAAUUCAAUUAUAAUAAACAAAGAACGAACCUGAGAUUGCUUGCAGCAGUAGAAAUAAGGGACAAAUUUGGUAAAGAAAGCGAAAAAACCUAAAAAUUUUUAGAGAGAAGAAGCCCUUUAUUUUAUUUUAUUUUAUUAGCAAGAGAGGGUUUGAGCGAAAGAGAGAGAGUAACCUGUCAUAGAGAAAGACAAUUUUUUUUACUUCGGGAGGAAGUAUUAAUUAAUAAAAAAAUGAGAAUAUUAGGGGGCUUACGUGGAAUGAUCAGGACGGCAGAUCUAAACUUUAGAUUUAAGUUUGGGAUUUUUUUUAUGUUUCUUCUUUUCCUCGGAAAUGAAGCCAUGUUGCCGUGAGUGAGAGUGACUGAACUUUUUUUUUUCUUUUUUUGCAAAAGAGAGUUGGCCCAAAUUGGGCUUCCACACCAAUCAUUGCUGGUGCCGCUGAUUCACGUCUUUUGACGUGGCGCAUGGGAAAGGUGAUAAAGAUUUGAAUUAGAUUUAAUAUUUUUAGAUAUUAUAUGUUGUUAUAAGAAUUUAUAAUUUAAUCUGAAUUCAAUUCAAAUUUUUAUUUAAUUUAAAUUUAAUCAAAUUAAAUUUUAUCGGAUUCAAUUUAAUUUUUUUAUUUUUUAUUUUUAUAUAUUAUUUUAAUAUAAAAUUUUAAUAUAUUUAAAUAAAUUUUAAUAUAAAAUUAUUAUUUUUAUUUUAUAAAAUUUUAAAAUAUAUAUAAUAAUUAAAAAUAUAUAUAAUUCGAUUCGAUUUGAUUCGAUUUUUUUACUUUUUAAUCCGUAUUUAAUAUAUAUUUAAUAUUCAAAUUUAAUCUGAACUAAAUAAAAAAAAUCAAUUCAAACUAAACCGAACACUAUGAUUUUGAAUUAAUUUUUUGAUUUUUCAAUUUUUUUUCAUCUCUACAUAUGAUUUGAAUGAAAAUAAGUUCGGAUAAAAUUAGAUUCGAUUUAAUUUUUUUAAAUGUUAUAUAAUAUAUGAAUUUUAAAAUUUAAUAUGAAUUCGAAUCAAAUCUUUAUAUAAUUUGAAUUGAAUUAAAUCGAAUUUUAUCGAUUUUAUUCAGUUCUGUUUAGUAUUUUUUUAAUUUUAAUUUUAUUAUUUUAAAAUAUUAUUUUAAUGUAAAAUUUUAAUAUAUUUGAAUAAAUUGUAAUAUAAAAUUAUUAUUUUUAUUUUAUAAAAAUUUAAAAUAUAUAUAUUAAGAAAUAUAGGUUUUUUUUUUUUUCACCUUUUAAUAUGAAAUUCAAUCCAAACCUAAUAUAUCUAUAUAUUUAUUUAAUAUUUAAAUUUAAUCCAAAUCAAAUAAUAAAAAAAUAUCCAAACCAAAUUAAACACUAUAAUUUCAUAUCAAUUUUUUAUUUUUUUUAUUUUUUUUCUCACCCUAUGAGUUCUCCUGGUUAAUAUUCUCAGGUUAGUCAGUUGAAGACCUGGGUUUACCUAUACAGAGAGAUUUAAUUAGCUUUACCGGGAUUACAUGGUUGCCGACUUGCUGUCAUUUGACUAAUAUCUUGAAAUUCGUAAGCCCAAAAGUCUGCAAACGAAUAAGCUACUGCACUUUACAUUUCUUACGUGGCAUAUUUCAUUAUUAGAAUUUUCUUGACACAGAUGAUGGAGACUCUUAACUCAGCACAAGCCAAUAGAGUGGCUACUAUCCAUCUUAAGGUAUGUAUAUCAAACAGGGAAAAAGCCAUUUUGUCUCAUCUUGUACGUAUUGAGGGCCUUCUCAUCAUCAUGUAUACCGGAAUGGUGCCCUUUUUCUGAUAUCAUGGGUAAACUUAUGGUGAGGAACAUUUUAUAUGGUAAACUGCCAAAAAGAAGAGACAUCUCAUGUUUUGUCGGGUAUCCCACGUGCAAUUAACUUCUAGUGAAAGAAUCACCUGAAUUAUUAAAGGAUCAGUGAUGCUUAGAAUUUAAGAGUAUGAGGGAUAGUCGUAAAAUAAAGUUUCAUGAAUUUGUUAUGAACAGAUUACAAACAUGCUCUGGGAAUCCAUCCUUUGUUCAUGGCAAGUGUUUUUCUCUGCCUCUCCUUCCUGCUACUCGACAGCCAAGAAGAGGAAAAUAGAAGAAAAAGAACUUUUUCCAAUGCCAUGCUUCCUACCUUCCCUCUUUCCUGAAGCCCUUUCUCCUCCUACUCAUCAGCUUUAGGACAACAUCUGGUGUCAGCUGAUGCACCUAAUGAAGGCAUAAAGUCAUUAUCACAUCUAACUACCAGAUAAAGGGAUCCCUUUGGUCGGUAGUCUUGAUUUUACUGGUUGGGACCAUUCGAAUUCUUGCAUGAAUUUGUCUUUCCAACAUUGUGCAUCAAUUCCCAUAAUCAGUUACUUUGUAGUAAGGCUAUCCAUACACUUUUAGAACAAAGGCCAAGCUACAAAUCCAAAGAUUGAAGUAAUUACUUUGGUUAUCUGAUUCACGAGGCCUUUCAGCUGAUGAGAAUUUGUUGCAACAUCCAAGUUUCUCAUCCAUUUAAAGUUCGUAAAUUCUUAUUCCUGUGGUUAAUGAUUUUCUCAAACAUGGUAAAAAUGCCUUUCUAUGUCUUGUUACCUACUAUCGUCUUUAAGAAGAGUUCGGAGAAUUAGGAAUCGAGUUUUGGGGUGUUCAAGGUGUGCCUCGAGUGCCAUUGCAUGCUACUUGUCAUGCUUAUGGUUUUAAAAUCUUUUAGCUACUCCCUACUCCUCUAGUUUAACACCAAGCAUAGUAAAUAUCGUAUUUAGAUAAUGUCUUGAAUUUUUGUUCAUUUCUCUGUUUUUUGUUACAUCAUGAGAGCAAAGUCUUAGUACAAGUAAGAGGGAGGGGAGAGAUUUGGUUCGAAACCAAGCUCUUGAUGUCCCUCAAACGCCUUUAACCACUAGGCUAAAGGCUUU